rnacentral:lncRNA from 1 species
UGACUAGGGGUGGCAAUCAGGUCGGGUCGGACGCGGGUUAGGUUGGAUGCAUGUCAAGUCAAAAAUGUAUCAACCCGAACCCGACCUGUUUAUUUAAACAUGUCAAAAAUUCAGAUACAAACCUAACUUGUAUUAAACAAGUAACCCAACUCGACCUGCAUAACUUGUUUACUAGGCAGGUUGAGUCAGGUUAAAUCGGUUAAACAAAUUAAGUAGGUUUUUUUAAUUAAAUGGACUUAAAUAGGUUAAAUAGGGUAAACAGGUCAGGUUAAACAUGAUAAAACGGGCUAACCAAGUUAAACAGGUCUUAAACAAGUUAGCUCAUGACCCAACUGAAUUAUUAAAUGGGUCGAUAGGGGUUAAAAUAGGUCAAAAAUCUAAAACUGAACCUGACCCGUUUAAUAAACGGAUCCAGACGGGUUGACCUAUUUAUGAGCCAAACCCAUUUAUGUCAAACCUAAACCUACUUAAAGCAAGUUAUUUACAAGUCAGGUCAUAAAUUGUCACCUCUAUCUAUGGCCCCUUUACCUUUUAUGCUAAGGUUGUGUCAUUAUGAUCCAUUUAGUCAUAUUUAAAGGCCAAUCAUUAUAUGUUGUAUCAGAUUUCAUUAAAAAAAGAAAAUUGUAAUGGCAGAUGACUCAAUAUUGAUAGACAUAGUAAAAAUAUUGACAUAAAAGAGUUUCCAUAACUUAAAAAUAUCCGUCAGCUAUAUUCACCCACAAGAUAGACUCAUUAUAAUGACCCAACAGCCCCCAUCCUGCCAUGUUCAGGGAUUCCUGCUCAUGUCAGUAAUGAAAUCAUACCACCAGCAGUGAAUAUGAUAUUAUUUAUGCGCAUAUACUCAACAAGCUUCUAUAAUGUUUUUUAACUGCACUCUAGAGGCACUUCUAGCAAGUUCAUUUCACACCACUAAUAGACAUUAGAUGGGCUACCAAGGAGUGGAACAUGAGCAGGUUACAUAUCUCGUGCACAUUCAUAAGCUACAUCUUUUUGUGCAAAUGAUUGAACCAAUAAUUUGCAUAUAUAUGACUGUGACCUAUGGAUGCCACUUCUCAAUAUACCCCUACUAGCGGUCUCUUGAAGAAGAAAAAAGCAUUCAUUGACAUAUCUUGUGCAAAUAUGUGCAAUUGUUAGUGAAACUAAAUAGAACAAAUAAGAUGUAACCUGGUUUAAUCUAUUGCUUAAAAUGUUUUUCACAAAUUGUAAUUUUCUCUCGCUUAUGGCAAAAACAGUAAUCACAAGCUCAAAAUUCAAAAAAGGAAGCAUUGAGCAUCCUCAAAAAAUCAAUCCACCAUAAAUACUUUAAUUGAGAAUAGAGACCUGAUCAAACUAGAUAUCAGUUAUUCAGCAAUUUUUGCCACAAUUUGGCAAGCUACUGCAUGAUAAAGAGAGGACUAGGUGUCGCAAGACAUGAACAUGUGUUCCAAGUCUUGACCUAUACAUCUGAGGCUGCAUUUGUAAUCCUGUUACAUUAACUUUUCCCUGCCAAAGGCAAAGUCCUCAAAACAAGGAAGCAUCAGAUCCAUUCUUGAUCCUUCCCUCUGAGUUCCCACUGCUCUUAUUCUUCUUCCUGACCUUUCUGCUUCGAAUAGGAGGCCCCUCUUAAUUUGGCAGGCUGUGGACUCAGCUACAUAUCUUCCAACUAUUUCAAACAACUUCGAGUCACUAUCCUCCAUUAAUAGUACUCCUACUGUUCCCCUAAUGUAUCGGUGUCUGAGCUAUCCUCAAAGAUUUGUCCCGCAUCCACAUUAAAAAUUGCCAUAUUCGUUGUGCCCAGCCAGUACCUAGCAUUGCACAGAACUAAGUUGAACUUAAUACAUUCCCUUUUAGGGAAAAAAAGAUAACAGUUAUCAUGUGAAUCUUCCCUUUCCACUACACAGUAUUAGGUGAUUGUGGAACCUUCAAAGGUGUAUCUUCACUUCAUCCAACCUGCUUAAAUCCUAAAUGAGUAAAUCAGUAUAUCCAUUCAUUCUUCUGAGCAUGCAAGUUUGUAUGUGUUACAUUCGCAAUCCUUAUUUCAUUCAAUAUAUAUAAAAAAAAACACUUUUCGGAUAGGCUUAAAGAUCCAUGAACUGCUGAAGUACCGUACAGUGAGAAAUUACCUCCUCAAAAGCCCAGUCAUCUUCUCGAUCAUUUACAUCACCACCCUUUGAAGACCAAAUUAAGCCUUCUAUCAUUCCAGUGAACUUGUUUAUCUUGUCUCCCAGUACAGCAAGUUCUCUCCACCCUCUCUGUCCUCUCAUCAUUUCAUCCAUUCUGAAACAAGUUAUGAAAUUUGAUGCGUAUUUAGUUUCAAACUAAUGACCAAGCACCGCAUGCAAAUGUAAAAAGGAAGAGACCAUUUAUAUCAGGCAUAAGAAAAAAAAUAAAUUAUGAAAGGAUAAAGAAAUAAAAUACCUUAAGAAAGCUUUCUGAACAGAAGUACCUAUAUCUCCAGCCGCAUAGGCUUCAUUCUUGAGAACUUGAGCGUGAAGGAAUUUUGCACAGAACUUAGCAACAACUUUUCCUGAAACAACAAAGUAUUACUCCAAAUCUGAUGAUACAAUUUUAUAUUGUGAUUUAAUCAAAAGAAAGUUGUAAGAUAGGUUCUAAAGCAUCAUAUUGCUGACGUUUCAUAACUUUAUUUAUGCCAUAGAGUAGGAUGAGAACACCCUAAAGAAAAUAUUAACUUUUUCCUGAUGCAAAUACACUCGAUCAAGAUUCUAAUGAGACACCCUUGUUUUAAAAUCUCAAAGGUUCGAGCAAAAGAUAUGAUCGCAUUAUCUCAUCUGAGUUUAAAAAUGCAGCUCCAGGUACUUGGAUGAGAUAGAGUGAAGUAUGCUUUCAUACAGAGUCAAAAAUUUGAAGAUCUAGUGUAUUUAUAGUAACAUUUUAAGAUAUUAAAGCAUUUGAUGUUGCCUGUGAUAUAUCUAUACCAUUUUACCCAUUUCAUUUCAAAUGUGAGGCAUGUUGACUAGAGAACUUUUUAUUAUUUUACAGAUUCAAACUUUUGGUGAUAAUGGUUGGUGGAAUGAAUUCAUAAAGCUAUCUGACCCCAGAUAACUGGCACAAGUCUUCAUGGUUGUGGUUACAGAACUUCAUACUCUUAGCCACUCACAACAUGCAAAGUAAUAAGUGUCAGGAAAAAUAUAUAGCCAGCUAACCUUGUAACCCUUGAAAUAUUUCCUAUAGCGAUGAGUACACAUGCCACAACUAAGUGCUCAUUCUGAAAGGGUACCUUACCUUUCAAACAAGUCCAGUAUGAGUAGUCCAAAGUACACAAGUUCACUCAGGAUAAUCAUUUGUGGUUGGAUAUUAAGUUAGACUUGUCGAAGCUUCAGAUAUGCUCAAAUAGUCACCUUACGGGAAACAGAAAUUUCUAGCCAGAACUGUAAAAAGACAUGGACCAUAUGGUACAAUUUCAUCUCUGCUAAGGAAUUCUUUCCAAAAUAAAGUUUAAAUACAUUGAGCUAUUAAGUUUCAUAUGAAGAGCACAACUAAAUAUCGAUUGCCAGCUUAUCAAACCAUUGUAAACUAAUAUUUUAACUAAUU